rnacentral:rRNA from 1 species
AACGAACGCUGGCGGCAUGCCUAACACAUGCAAGUCGAACGGGGCAGCAAUGCCUAGUGGCGGACGGGUGAGGAAUACGUAGGAAUCUGCCCUUAAGUGGGGGAUAACCAGGGGAAACCCUGACUAAUACCGCAUGAUCUCUUCGGAGCAAAGAGGGGGACCGCAAGGCCUCUCGCUUCUGGAUGAGCCUACGUCUGAUUAGCUAGUUGGUAGGGUAAAGGCCUACCAAGGCGACGAUCAGUAACUGGUCGGAGAGGAUGAUCAGUCACACCGGGACUGAAACACAGUCCGGACUCCUACCGGAAGCAGGAGGGGGGAAUAUUGGACAAUGGGCGCAAGCCUGAUCCAGCAAUGCCGCGUGUGUGAAGAAGGCCUUCAGGUUGUAAAGCAUUUUAGCCUGGAAAGAAAAAACUUUGGUUAACACCCAAAGUCUUGACGGUACCAGGAGAAUAAGCACCGGCUAACUCUGUGCCAGCCGCCGCCGUAAGAC